UAAGGUUCAGUUUUGCUUGUGCCGCCGGA
rnacentral:sRNA from 1 species